ACACACAGAGGCAAACCAAGAAACAGACUCUUAAUUGUAGAGAACAAACUUAUAGUUAUCAGACAGGAGAGAGGUUGGGGAUGGGUUAAAAAGGUGAUGGGGUUUAAGGAGUACACUUGUGAUGAGCA